rnacentral:hammerhead_ribozyme from 1 species
AUCUAGCUGACGAGUUUCAAAUAAGACGAAACGCCCGUCAUGAAU